UCCGUAGGGUGCGAGCGUUAAUCGGAAUUACUGGGCGUAAAGCGUGCGCAGGCGGUUAUGUAAGACAGUUGUGAAAUCCCCGGGCUCAACCUGGGAACUGCAUCUGUGACUGCAUAGCUAGAGUACGGUAGAGGGGGAUGGAAUUCCGCGUGUAGCAGUGAAAUGCGUAGAUAUGCGGAGGAACACCGAUGGCGAAGGCAAUCCCCUGGACCUGUACUGACGCUCAUGCACGAAAGCGUGGGGAGCAAACAGG
rnacentral:rRNA from 1 species